rfam:Streptococcus thermophilus LMG 18311, complete genome.
UAACAACGAGAGCGGAAGAGGUAGCCGCCGCACCUUCGGGUCUGAAAGAGAUGCAGGAUUGUCACCCUGCCGUUGUUU